GAACGCUGGUGGCAUGCUUAACACAUGCAAGUCGAACGGUAACAGGACUAGCUUGCUAGUUGCUGACGAGUGGCGGACGGGUGAGUAACACGUAGGAAUCUGCCCAUCUGAGGGGGAUACCAGUUGGAAACGACUAUUAAUACCGCAUAGUAUCUGUGGAUUAAAGGUGGCUUUUGAGCUGUCGCAUAUGGAUGAGCCUGCGUUGGAUUAGCUAGUUGGUGAGGUAAGGGCCUACCAAGGCUACGAUCCAUAGUUGAUUUGAGAGGAUGAUCAGCCACAUUGGGACUGAGACACGGCC
rnacentral:rRNA from 1 species